rnacentral:tRNA from 1 species
GCCCUGCUGGCGCAAUGGUAGCGCGCAAGACUUCUAAUCAUCUUUCUGAUGAACCGACAUCUUGAGGCUGCGAGUUCGAGCCUCGCGUGGGGCU